UCAGAAAGCCAGUUAAACAAUCCAGCAAAUUAAGUUCCAAGUGUCUAAUAUGAUUCGGGACUACGCACUAUAACUUCGCUUCACCGAAGAAAAAAAUCUAAACAUGGAAAAAUUAUUAAAUAUUGAGAAAAACAUUGCAAAAAUAUAAAAUGAAACAAAAAAAGGAAAGGAAACUUUGAACCUUAUGUACACAAAAAGUACCAGGACUGGCAAAACUGUUAGUCCUAGAUUACCUAUUGAUUUAAAAUACAAAAAAAAUAGCAAAAG